UACGUAGGCAGCGAGCGUUGUUCGGAGUUACUGGGCGUAAAGGGUGUGUAGGCGGUUGGUUAAGUUUGGGGUGAAAUCUCCCGGCUCAACUGGGAGGGUGCGCCGAAUACUGAAUGACUUGGAGUGCGGGAGAGGUGAGUGGAAUUCCUGGUGUAGCGGUGAAAUGCGUAGAUAUCAGGAGGAACACCGGUGGUGUAGACGGCUCACUGGACCGUAACUGACGCUGAGACACGAAAGCGUGGGUAGCAAACAGG
rnacentral:rRNA from 1 species